rnacentral:lncRNA from 1 species
GGAGAAGCAACGCAAGACCCCGGAAGCAUGCCAACGUGUAAAACCCCAAGUCAAAGGUCAAACAGUGCACUGGAUCUCUCAAGUCGCCUGCUUGGCCCUCUACUAAAAAGGGAGAUGCCAUGUGCUGGCCCAGCACUCCAACAGGGGCCUGACCUCUAGGAACGGGACACUGGAGGAAGCCUAGACAUCUGAACAAAUCAAGUCAUCCAGAUCCACGGUCAGCUCCUGCCCCGACUUGGCCUUCCUCCUGCUGGGCUGGCCCACGGACCUCGGGAACCUGCCCUGGCUGUGGGUGACCUGCAGCCUAUCUCCCAGGACUAUGGAAGCCCCAUGCAGGAACAUGGUUCUGACACUUUGGGGAUUAUACCCUAAGCUUAAAGGACUGGAAAAGCCCCUGAAGUCCCGAGACCACAACCCUCCACCUUCUAAAGAUAAGACAAGUCACUGAAGGUAAAAUCAGCUCCUCAGUGUCUCCAAGGACAGGAAUGCCAUGGGCUGGGAGGCGCCAUGGGUGAACAGACUUCCCUACUUCCUGCCUCCCCAAGGGUGGGGAGCAGUCUAGGGGAUGGCUGUACUCCUGGGCCCAGUGUCUAAGUGAAAAUUAGGAGGAAAUGGAGGGAGGGUGGCGAGCGAGGACAGACUGGCCAAGGUCCCCCGCAGCCACUCCUGAAGUCCUCACGAGGGAGAAGCAGCCUCUCCUUCCAGCCUUCCCCAAGUCCUCCCUAAGAGUGUAUUCUACUGGUUUCUGUGCAGAUUUUUUUCGGCUGCGACCAAUAGUAGCUUAAACAUGGAUUAUUUUCUUUUUAAUUUCUUCCUGCAAAAUUCUUAGGAAACCAUUAAUAAAAGUAAUAUACAUGUGAAAUAAUAAUCUUGGAAACAUCCCUUCUUAAUGCUUAUGUAACUGUGUUAUGGUCGUGUCCCAUCUAGACUAAGUAAAUUAAAAUCUUAGCCCAGAUGAGAUGUAAGCAAAGGCAAGAAGAAACUUUGAUACCUACCAAAUCAUUCCUUGGUUGUAGACUAAAUGUAGCACAUUCUCAGCUAUUUUGAAUUCUCCAUAUUCAGGCUACAAGAGAAAAUAAACUUGUGCAUUAAACAAGUUCCAAAGUUCUUUGCAUGAACCAAUUAAUUACAGACACCUAUAUAGACUUCUUUGCUCUUAUGAACACUUAGAGAUCAGUGCUUGUGGGGCCAUCCCAGCAAAUGGUAAAUGUUAAGAAAGGGGUGGGGCUGGGCAUUGUAGCUUAUGCCUGUAAUCCCAGCACUUCGGGAGGCUGAGCAGGAGGAUCACUUGUAGUCAGGAGUUCGAGGUCAGCCUGGGCAACAUAGUGAGACCUCAUCUCUACAAGAAAUUUUUAAAACUAGCUGGGCAUGGUGGCAUGUGCCUAUAGUCCCAGCUACUCGGGAGGCUGAGGCAGGAGGAUCGCUUGAGCAAGACCCUGUCUCAAAAAACACAAAAAACAGACAAAAAAAAAAAAAAGGAAGUAGAAGCUCAGCUUUCUGCACCCAUCUCUUCCCACUUGUAUUCUCUUUCCGUGUGUCCCCCUCAACUAUGCUGGACUGUUUCCCAGCCACAACAUGAGAAAGGAUGGAUUUGGCCAUAUAAACUUUCCCAACAGACACAGCAUUUUACUUACAAACUUGCUCUCCAG